AUUGAACGCUGGCGGCGUGCUUAACACAUGCAAGUCGAUCGGUAACGCGGGGGCAACCCUGGCGACGAGAGGCGGACGGGUGAGGAACGCUUGGGAAUCUGCCUAUCAGCGGGGGACAACACGGGGAAACUCGUGCUAAUACCGCAUACGCUCUACGGAGGAAAGCCGGGGACCGCAAGGCCUGGCACUGAUAGAUGAGCCCAAGCCGGAUUAGCUAGUUGGCGGGGUAACGGCCCACCAAGGCGACGAUCCGUAGCUGGUCUGAGAGGGCGAUCAGCCACACUGGGACUGAGACACGGCCCAGACUCCUACGGGAGGCAGCAGUGGGGAAUAUUGGACAAUGGGGGAAACCCUGAUUCAGCGACGCCGCGUGGGUGAAGAAGGCCUGCGGGUUGUAAAGCCCUUUCGGUAGGGACGAAAGCUCUCGACCUAACACGUCGGGAGGUUGACUUAACCUACAAAAGAAGCACCGGCUAACUCUGUGCCAGCCGCCGCGGUAAGAC
rnacentral:rRNA from 1 species